AUGAACGCUGGCGGCGUGCCUAAUCCAUGCAAGUCGAGCGAACGGACGAGAAGCUUGCUUCUCUGAUGUUAGCGGCGGACGGGUGAGUAACACGUGGAUAACCUACCUAUAAGACUGGGAUAACUUCGGGAAACCGGAGCUAAUACCGGAUAAUAUUUUGAACCGCAUGGUUCAAAAGUGAAAGACGGUCUUGCUGUCACUUAUAGAUGGAUCCGCGCUGCAUUAGCUAGUUGGUAAGGUAACGGCUUACCAAGGCAACGAUGCAUAGCCGACCUGAGAGGGUGAUCGGCCGCACUGGAACUGAGACACGGUCCAGACUCCUACGGGAGGCAGCAGUAGGGAAUCUUCCGCAAUGGGCGAAAGCCUGACGGAGCAACGCCGCGUGAGUGAUGAAGGUCUUCGGAUCGUAAAACUCUGUUAUUAGGGAAGAACAUAUGUGUAAGUAACUGUGCACAUCUUGACGGUACCUAAUCAGAAAGCCACGGCUAACUACGUG
rnacentral:rRNA from 1 species